rnacentral:sRNA from 1 species
ACCACCCGGCGGGAGCUGGCUCACGCCGGAGAGUCGGCUUCAGGAAGCCGCCCCGACAUGAGCACGAAGCGGUUUUGCGAAGCAAAACCAGCAGAGUGCGAAUGGCGGGAGGAUUUCGGGAGCGCGAAGCGCGAAGAAAUCCGUCGG